rnacentral:rRNA from 1 species
AUUGAACGCUGGCGGCAGGCCUAACACAUGCAAGUCGCGCGAGCGGCGGACGGGUGAGUAAUGUAUGGGGAUCUGCCCGAUAGAGGGGGAUAACUACUGGAAACGGUGGCUAAUACCGCAUACUAUCGGAUGUACCCAAACGGGAUUAGCUAGUAGGUGGGGUAAGGGAUCACCUAGGCGACGAUCUCUAGCCGGUCUGAGAGGAUGAUCAGCCACACUGGUACUGAGACACGGUCCAGACUCCUACGGGAGGAAGCAGUGGGGAAUAGUGCGCAAUGGGGGCAAGCCUGACACAGCAAUGCCGCGUGAGUGAAGAAGGCCUUCGGGUUGUAAAGUUCUUUCGGUAGCGAGGCGUUACCUAAAGAAGAAGCACCGGCUAACUCCGUGCCAGCAGCCGCGGUAAUAC